rnacentral:rRNA from 1 species
AUUUUUGAAAGGUUGACCUCGGAUCAGGUAGGAAUACCCGCUGAACUUAAGCAUAUCAAUAAGCGGAGGA